rnacentral:rRNA from 1 species
UACGGGGGGGCAAGCGUUGUUCGGAAUUACUGGGCGUAAAGGGCUCGUAGGCGGCCAACUAAGUCGGAUGUGAAAUCCCCAGGCUUAACCUGGGAACUGCAUCCGAUACUGGAUGGCUUGAAUCCGGGAGAGGGAUGCAGAAUUCCAGGUGUAGCGGUGAAAUGCGUAGAUAUCUGGAGGAAUACCGGUGGCGAAGGCGGUUCUCUGGGCAUCACCUGACGCUGAGGAGCGAAAGUGUGGGGAGCGAACAGG